GUGUUUUUAGGGAUGUGACCAAACAAGUUGUAACUGUGUAAUACGGAGUGCUUUCUCAGGCUGUUUUCGAUGGACUUUAGAGCCAUAAAGUGAGUGAAUGAUUAAUUUCGCUGCAGAAAUGAGACUUCAGGUUGGCCACGGUGAACAACGAAGCAGUUUCUCACAGCGACCGGAUCAAAUAUAGAUACAAAAUAUUCAGUAGCUAAUAAUAACUCUUUAGUAAGUUACCUUUAAGUUGAGUGUUUAGUAGCUGAUGCUGAAACGGCGGUGAGGGAGAGUAAAGACCCGCAUCAUCUCUCCAUCUUUUCCGUCUAAUGCUUCAUUUAUAAAUUGAAUUCAUCAGAGGAGCGCAUGGUUCGCCAGCGAUGGAGGAAAGUAAGGUAAGAGAAACUCUCUUAAUGAAAAAACAUCAAAUAAGCAGCGAUUUCAUCCGAUUCUUCUUUCUCUCUAUGACAGACUGAUCAUGUAACUCCGCCCACAACUCCAAACAAAGCCACGCCCUCUCCGCCAGUAUCCACAGAAUGGCAGAUGGGUUUGAGCAGCCCAGAAUUACUAAGAGAAUUGAAACAAGCGCAUGCGCUCAAACACGUCCCUGCACACACGGGACUGACCACGGUGUUCUGUGGACGACGACGACAGAAUCAGGAGGCAGAGAGUCGGUCAAAAAACCUGCAUUGAAACGGCAGCAAUCACAGCGACUGUUCGGCGGGGAUUCCAGUUGCUCUGUCAUUGGCUGUUUGAGCUGUCUGUCAGUGAUUAGCCCCACCCCCUUGGUGAUGUGGGCGGGUGGAUUGCGUCUCUGUGAGCUGCUGUGGUUAUGAGGAUCUUCAGUGAACAUGUCUGUCAUGUUUGUGUGCGAGUAUGAAAGCAGUCUGUCAAUCUGUAGCGCGUCUGAUGUUAAAACAGUGUGUGUGACUGUGUCAUAUCAGAUAUUAAAUUGUGUGUAUAUACAUAU
rnacentral:lncRNA from 1 species